GUAAUUAAAAGUUGAAUUUGGUUGUUGUUAAAAUAUUGAUGUAUAUGUAGAUUAAAUAUUUGUGUGAGGUUGUCAAAUGUUGAAUUAGUUCGAUAUUCAUAGUUUGUAAAUUUUUUUGGGUUGUUGUAUUGUUCAAAUUAUUUAGUUGAUUGUUGAAUUAGGUGAUAGUUAUAGUUUGAAUUAAGAUGGACGAAGAUCAAUGGACAUAUUACAGUACGAUGUCCGAAGAAGUUGAUAUGGAUUUUCAAGAUGAACAAAAUUGUGGUGUGAAUGAAGGACAUGUUGAUUGUUCAGACGCUUUUAAUACUUCUCAGGUCUUUGCAACCCGAGAAGAUGUUUUGCAGUGGGUUCGAACGGUUGCCCAUAAAAACGGUUUUGUUGCAGUAAUUAUGAGGUCUGAUACAUAUACUGGUAGCAGAGGAAGAACUUCAUUUGUGUUAAUUUGGUGUGAAAGGAGCGAUAAGUACAAGUGUAGGAAGAAAGAAUUUGUUAGAAGAGACACAAACACUAGAAAAUAUGGUUGUCCCUUUAAGAUUCGUGGAAAACUAGUGCAUGAAGGUGAAGGUUGGACAGUGAAGCUGAUAUGUGGGAUUCACAACCAUGAAUUGGCGAAGACCUUAGUUGGACAUCCUUAUGCUGAGAGAUUGACAUAUGAUGAGAAGAAUAUCAUUGCUGAUAUGACGAAGUCGAAUGUGAAACCAAGAAACAUCCUGCUAACAUUGAAGGAGCACAACGCCAACAGUUGCACCACAAUUAAACAAAUCUACAAUGCAAGAAGUGCAUAUCGUUCUUCAAUCAGAGGAGAUGACACUGAAAUGCAACACCUAAUGAGGCUCCUUGAACGUGACCAAUACAUUCAUUGACAUAGAUUGAAGGAUCAAGAUGUGGUGCAUGAUUUGUUUUGGUGUCACCUAGAUGCAGUUAAGUUAUGUAACGCAUGUCAUCUUGUUUUUUGGAUAGAUAGUACCUACAAAACAAAUAGAUACAGACUUCCAUUGCUUGACUUUGUGGGGGUGACACCAACCGGGAUGACUUUCUCUGCUGGGUUUGCAUAUCUGGAGGGUGAGCGCGUGAACAAUCUUGUAUGGGCAUUGGAACGGUUUCGAUGCCUUUUUUUAAGAAACGAUCGCCUUCCUGUUGUUAUUGUCACAGACAAAGACCUAGCCCUGAUGAAUGCUGUGAAAGUUGUGUUUCCAGAGUGUACGGAUUUGUUGUGCAGGUUUCACAUAGACAAAAAUGUAAAGGCAAAGUGCAAAUCGCUAAUCGGUCAGAAGAAUGUCUGAGACUACGUAAUAGAUAGCUGAGGUAAUUUGGUAGAUUGUCCUUCGGAACAGGAGUUCCUUGAGCACCUUCAAAGGUUUCAAGUAGCGUGUUCCCCGUGGCCAAUGUUCGUUGACUACGUAUGUGAGACAUGGAUUGUCCCACACAAGGAGAAGUUUAUCACGGCCUGGACGAAUAAGGUGAUGCACCUAGGCAACACAACAACAAAUAGGGUUGAAUCUGCUCAUUGGUCUCUGAAAAGGGUAUUACAGAAUAGCGUUGGAGACCUCUGUAGUGUUUGGGAUGCAAUGAACAACAUGAUGAAGUUGCAUCACACUGAAAUUAGAGCAUCAUUCGAAACAAGUAUGCAUGUCGUUCGUCAUGUUUUUAAGAAAACCUUAUACAAGAGGCUUCUGGGAAUGGUGUCAAGGUACGCUUUAAAUGAAAUUUCGGUUAAGUUUGAGCACGUACAUCAUUUCAAAGACAAUCUGUCUUCUUGUGGUUGUGUCUUGAGAGGCUUCUGGGAAUGGUGUCAAGGUACGCUUUAAAUGAAAUUUCGGUUAAGUUUGAGCACGUACAUCAUUUCAAAGACAAUCUGUCUUCUUGUGGUUGUGUCUUGAGAACCACGCUAGGUCUUCCUUGUGCAUGCGAGCUACAAAGGUAUGAUGGUGGCAGCAUCCCACUGGAUGCAGUCCAUAUGUACUGGAGGAGACUUAGUUUUCAGACCAGGGGCUAUAUGAGACCGAAGUGAGCAUUAAGGAAGAGAUGAAUAGAAUAUAUAAAAGAUUCGAGGAACUUGAUGUUUGUGGGAAAGUUACUUUCAAGAGUAAAAUCAGAGAAUUCGCGUUUCCCGAUGAGACCUCUAUGUGUCCUCCUCCAACAAAGGUUAAGACGAAAGGUGCCCCGAAGAAAGUAAUGAAAAGAAGCAAAAGAUUGACAAAGCGUGAUCCAUCUUAUUGGGAGUAUGUUGAUGCUUAUCAUUUGGUUCAAAAUAACAACACCUCAGUCAGACCCAGUGCAUCAUCUUGUGAACCACCGAAGCCAGCAAGGAUGAUCUCGAUGUUGAAUCAAUUUGCGCCAUUUAUGCAUGGUUUCAUUGAGGACGUUGUUGAUGUGAAAGCGAAUGGUAAUUAUGGAUAUCGGUCAGUUUCCGCUUUGUUAGGUAUGGGAAAAGAGUGUUGGGCCGUGAUGCGUAACAAAUUGAUUAAAGAACUUGGCAAAUGGUCGCAAGACUACAUAAAGAUCUUUGGUGGCAUGGAGAGAUAUGAACAGCUGAGGUUGUCCCUACACGUGGAUGGGUUAUCCAAGGUUAGUAUGGACAAAUGGAUGGAUAUAACGGAUAUGGGAUAUGUAAUUGCGUCAAGAUAUAAUGUAAUCCUUGUAUCGUUGUCACGACAACAGAGCUUCACAUUUUUUCCUCUCAGAAGUUGACCAUCGGCCGAUUCUUCUACGCACUGCAUGAUAUGCGUCGGUCAUGUGUUUGGCAGUCAUUUUAUUCAGGUUUAUCUGAAAGAUCGUUGUCCCUUACUGUCUAUGGCAUUGUUGUGGUCAAGCAAUUCGUAUCUGGAGGCAAAAUAGUGGCCAACUGCAUAUGUAGGUAGAAUGCAGCACUACUUAAGCCUAAUGACAAUUAAUACAAUGCACGUAGACCUAAGCAGAAACUGAACUUGUAAUAUUUAUGUAUCUAUAUUUACGAUUGGAUUUCUGUUCAUGUAAUUAAUCAGUAUUGAAAUA